rnacentral:tRNA from 1 species
AGUGUGAGGACUGCGAUAGCAGGUUACUGUGAUAUAGUAAACUCUGGGGAAACCCCCACACUA